UAAGGAAUAUUGGUCAAUGGGCGCAAGCCUGAACCAGCCAUGCCGCGUGCAGGAAGACGGCCCUAUGGGUUGUAAACUGCUUUUGUCAGGGAAUAAACCCCCGCUCGUGAGCGGGGCUGAAGGUACCUGAAGAAUAAGCAUCGGCUAACUCCGUGCCAGCAGCCGCGGUAAUACGGAGGAUGCAAGCGUUAUCCGGAUUCAUUGGGUUUAAAGGGUGCGCAGGCGGAUUGGUAAGUCAGGGGUGAAAUCCCACAGCUCAACUGUGGAACUGCCUUUGAUACUGUCAGUCUAGAGUAUAGUUGAAGUGGGCGGAAUGUGUCAUGUAGCGGUGAAAUGCUUAGAUAUGACACAGAACACCGAUCGCGAAGGCAGCUAGCUAAGCUAUAACUGACGCUCAUGCACGAAAGCGUGGGGAUCA
rnacentral:rRNA from 1 species